rnacentral:rRNA from 1 species
UGCUGUGAGCUCGAUGAGUAGGGCGGGACACGUGGUAUCCUGUCUGAAUAUGGGGGGACCAUCCUCCAAGGCUAAAUACUCCUGACUGACCGAUAGUGAACCAGUACCGUGAGGGAAAGGCGAAAAGAACCCCGGCGAGGGGAGUGAAAAAGAACCUGAAACCGUGUACGUACAAGCAGUGGGAGCACCCUUUGGGGUGUGACUGCGUACCUUUUGUAUAAUGGGUCAGCGACUUAUAUUCUGUAGCAAGGUUAACCGAAUAGGGGAGCCGGAGGGAAACCGAGUCUUAAUUGGGCGUUAAGUUGCAGGGUAUAGACCCGAAACCCGGUGAUCUAGCCAUGGGCAGGUUGAAGGUUGGGUAACACUAACUGGAGGACCGAACCGACUAAUGUUGAAAAAUUAGCGGAUGACCUGUGGCUGGGGGUGAAAGGCCAAUCAAACCGGGAGAUAGCUGGUUCUCCCCGAAAGCUAUUUAGGUAGCGCCUCGUGAAUUCAUCUCCGGGGGUAGAGCACUGUUUCGGCUAGGGGGCCAUCCCGGCUUACCAACCCGAUGCAAACUGCGAAUACCGGAGAAUGUUAUCACGGGAGACACACGGCGGGUGCUAACGUCCGUCGUGAAGAGGGAAACAACCCAGACCGCCAGCUAAGGUCCCAAAGUCAUGGUUAAGUGGGAAACGAUGUGGGAAGGCCCAGACAGCCAGGAUGUUGGCUUAGAAGCAGCCAUCAUUUAAAGAAAGCGUAAUAGCUCACUGGUCGAGUCGGCCUGCGCGGAAGAUGUAACGGGGCUAAACCAUGCACCGAAGCUGCGGCAGCGACGC